GAGUUUGAUCCUGGCUCAGGAUGAACGCUAGCGACAGGCCUAACACAUGCAAGUCGAGGGGCAGCGGGGGAGGAAGCUUGCUUUCUCCUGCCGGCGACCGGCGCACGGGUGAGUAACACGUAUGCAACCUGGCCGUCACAGGUGGAUAACCGGAAGAAAUUCCGACUAAUACAGCAUAACACUCCUGAGGGACAUCCUUCGGGAGUCAAAGGAGGCGACUCCGGUGACGGAUGGGCAUGCGGCGCAUUAGGUAGUUGGUAGGGUAACGGCCUACCAAGCCGACGAUGCGUAGGGGUUCUGAGAGGAAGGUCCCCCACAUUGGAACUGAGACACGGUCCAAACUCCUACGGGAGGCAGCAGUGAGGAAUAUUGGUCAAUGGCCGGAAGGCUGAACCAGCCAAGUCGCGUGAGGGAAUAAGGCCCUAUGGGUCGUAAACCUCUUUUGUCAGGGAGCAAAGGCGUCCACGAGUGGACGAAAGGAGAGUACCUGAAGAAAAAGCAUCGGCUAACUCCGUGCCAGCAGCCGCGGUAAUACGGAGGAUGCGAGCGUUAUCCGGAUUUAUUGGGUUUAAAGGGUGCGUAGGCGGAGUGUCAAGUCAGCGGUAAAAUUUCGGGGCUCAACCCCGUCGUGCCGUUGAAACUGACGCCCUUGAGUGAGUGAGAAGUAAGCGGAAUGCGU
rnacentral:rRNA from 1 species